rnacentral:rRNA from 1 species
AUUGAACGCUGGCGGCAUGCCUUACACAUGCAAGUCGAACGGUAACAGGUCUUCGGACGCUGACGAGUGGCGAACGGGUGAGUAAUACAUCGGAACGUGCCCAGUCGUGGGGGAUAACUACUCGAAAGAGUAGCUAAUACCGCAUACGAUCUGAGGAUGAAAGCGGGGGACCUUCGGGCCGCGCGCGGUUGGAGCGGCCGAUGGCAGAUUAGGUAGUUGGUGGGAUAAAAGCUUACCAAGCCGACGAUCUGUAGCUGGUCUGAGAGGACGACCAGCCACACUGGGACUGAGACACGGCCCAGACUCCUACGGGAGGCAGCAGUGGGGAAUUUUGGACAAUGGGCGAAAGCCUGAUCCAGCAAUGCCGCGUGCAGGAUGAAGGCCUUCGGGUUGUAAACUGCUUUUGUACGGAACGAAAAAGUCUCCUCUAAUACAGGAGGCCCAUGACGGUACCGUAAGAAUAAGCACCGGCUAACUACGUGCCAGCCGCCGCAGUAACAC